rnacentral:misc_RNA from 1 species
GCACAAUUAGCAAUGGAAAUCUUUUGAUUCGAUUUCUUUUAUUUUUCCACAUGAAAUGACAUUUGAAAGAAACAUCCAACUUCAGAUCGAAAACCCUCUAUCAAAUCAAUGUCAUGCUUUGUUUAUGAAAGAAGCAAGACCUCUGAACAUGCUCUUAGCAUUCUCUGUAUUGGGAUCAAAGAUAUGGAAGACGUGAUCCUCCCCUUUGUUCUCCAUAAGCUCUGCAGUUCCUUUCCAUCCGCUGCGCACUAAUUUUUCAUGAUAAAGCUUUCCUCUAUCCCUCAGUAUGUCAUUCUCUGCGACAAUAACUAGCACCCUGUUGCAAGCCAACCGUUCAAGACUAGGAGAUCCAUCGGUAAAUGGGUUAAUGAGUAGAUCAUCACAUCCUUUCUGGGAUGGGCAGAUGAACGUCCACCAGUUAUCCACCAAUGAUCUCCUCACAUGAUCAGUCUUUUCUACUCCAACCGGAUCUUUUCCCCAGAAGUAAGGAUGGAUCAUAGCAAUGCCUUGAAUAUUCAGUUCUCUACCCAGUUCUGAUCCCUUGAGCUUCAAGGCCAAAUGAUGAGCCAUAUUAGCACCGCAGCUGUCUCCUCCCAAGAACACCCGUCCAAAGUCAACAUAAUCCUUGAGCCAUGCCUCCUGCCCAUCAUCUCCACUAGCAUGGGCAGCCACCCAGUGAAGUGCAGCCCAGGAGUCCUCAUAUGCUGCCGGAAGAGGGUUCUCUGGGGCUAACCUGUAGUCAACCGAGACAACAACGAUGUUUGCCUCGGCCACUAGCUUGUUGAGAGAAUGAUGGUACUUGGGGUCUGCAGUGGAUGAUAUGAAGAAGCCACCACCAUGAUAGUAGAUAACAAGAGGAAGCUUUUGGCCAGCUUUUGUUGAACUGGGACGGUAGAGCCUAGCCGAGACACGAGUUUCUGGUAUGAUAAGAAUGUCUUUGGACAAAACACCAGUUGCAGGAUCCAAACCUGCAGGAACAACUUCUGUACCAGCAAAUCGCUCGAUGGUCCCAUCUUUGUACACCCGAAGGUAAGGAAAAACUUCACGGGACACUUGUGCUUUUUCUGAAACCAUCUGAAUUCAGAUCUAUGGAGAGGGAGAGAAUAUUAGUGAAGAAAAGAGUAUGAUUUCUAUGAGCAGAGGGAUGGCAUUUAUAUACACCAAGAGGGGUCUUCCAUUUCUUUUUUUUUCUGUUUAAUUUUCUUUGUCUACCAUUAAAUAACACAUUACAUAACACAGCACAUCACAUGUAUAGUGGAAAUUUU